GGGGGGAGGGGGAGGGCAGGAGGAGGGAAGAGAAGCCCGAGGCCCUGCCUGCUCUAAGUGCUGGACUGCUGAGCUCCUGUCAUCCUCUUCCCUCUGUCCCCAGGGGUGGGCGCAAUGGGCAUCACAGCUAUCAACCACUCUGCAUAUUUCAGAAACCUUUCCCCCUUUUAAAUGUGAGCUCAGGCUGCCCCAGAGAGACUUUGCCAGGGCCCAGGGCUCUCUCCUCCCAGGCCGGAUGGCCCCUCCCCUGGUCUGGGCGCCCUGCUCCUCUGUGGCUAUUCUCUGAUUUCAGUUGAGAGGCAUGAAAACAACCUACGGUGCGUUUUAUCUGCACCUCCAUGUCAGUCUCUCCCACUUACCUCCUCAAAACAAGACCUUAUUUUUUCUCUUCCCAGAACUGUAUCUGCCGCGAUAACAGGCUGAGGAGUGCCACCCAUCCUCUGUGAGACCACAAACAGCUGAAGGCAGUGAAGCAGGCUCAUAAACAAGGGUGUAGACCAGAGAACACGUGGGGGCCAGCAGGGAGCAAGAACAGACCCCGCAGCUCCCAGUGCGAAGGGAGCAGAAGAAAACUGUAUCAGAGACACUUCAUGGGCAUAUCAAAAACUGGAGCCCGUGAAGAGCAUACGAGGGAGCAUCGGGACCGCUCUGUGAGAGGAGAGAGGUCGGUCGUGGCGUCCAGCAUUUUCUGGGCAGCAUUUUCACUGCUUCCUAGCACAAGCACUGUCAGCUGUGGGCGUCGCCCUUAGUUCCCUUUUCUGUAGAUGCCCUGGAAUCAGAGGCAUGUGAGAACGGAACUUGUGGUGAAGACUACCUUGCCACAGAAGGUCCCCACCCCUCUUACCUUCCGCCGGACCCAGUUGUAACUAGGUGGUGUGUGGUAAAUAUGUACAGCGCACUGGGCAUUGCCACACCAGUAUCUUCAGUGGAAUGAACCGGAAUUUACAAUUCACACCUCUUUUGAAAUGUGAUGAAGCAAUGCAGAAGUCAGCAAUGGGAUGAGCACA